UAAGGAUAGCUUAGUCAGUAGAGCAUGGAACUCUCAAUCUCAUAGUUGUGGGUUAAAGCCCCAUGCUGUGCAAAA